rnacentral:lncRNA from 1 species
AUCAUCCAUCAAACACACUUUGGAUAAAGAAUACAGAGUAGAAGAUGAGUAUAUUUUGCAUAAUGGACUUAGCAAUCAACCAAAGUCAGUUUUUAUGUGUUAUUUAUGAGUCAAACAAUGAGGACUUUCGAAACAGAAACAAACCACUAUGGCUAGUUUUACCCACUGCAUAAUCGAAUUAUAGAAAUACUAGAGCUCAAUAGAAUCAUGAACUGAGUUUACAACAAGCUUUGAGUUUCGUUCACAAUAGAGUAUUAAGAAUGAAC